rfam:Puccinia triticina 1-1 BBBD Race 1 supercont2.8658, whole genome shotgun sequence.
GACAACGUGGCCGAGCGGUUAAGGCGAUUGACUAGAAUCAUCUAAGACUGACGGGUCUAUUAUCAAUUGGAGUUUCUCCGCGUAGGUUCAAAUCCUGCCGUUGUCG